rnacentral:rRNA from 1 species
AUUGAACGCUGGCGGCAUGCCUUACACAUGCAAGUCGAACGGCAGCACGGGAGCAAUCCUGGUGGCGAGUGGCGAACGGGUGAGUAAAGUAUCGGAACGUGCCCAGUCGUGGGGGAUAACGUAGCGAAAGUUACGCUAAUACCGCAUACGAUCUAUGGAUGAAAGCGGGGGAUCGCAAGACCUCGCGCGAUUGGAGCGGCCGAUAUCAGAUUAGGUAGUUGGUGGGGUAAAGGCUCACCAAGCCGACGAUCUGUAGCUGGUCUGGGAGGACGACCCGCCACACUGGGACUGAGACACGGCCCAGACUCCUACGGGAGGCAGCAGUGGGGAAUUUUGGACAAUGGGCGAAAGCCUGAUCCAGCCAUGCCGCGUGCAGGAUGAAGGCCUUCGGGUUGUAAACUGCUUUUGUACGGAACGAAAAGGUUUGGCCUAAUAAGCUGAGCUCAUGACGGUACCGUAAGAAUAAGCACCGGCUAACUACGUGCCGGCCGCCGCGGUAA